rnacentral:rRNA from 1 species
UUUAAUUAUCAUAUAUAAAAGUGAAAAUAUAAAAUAUAAAUUAAUUUUAGUUGGGGCAACUGGGAGGGAUAAAAAUCUUUUAUUAAAUCAUUGAUAGUAAUAUUUAUAUUUAUGAUCCAAAUUAGUUAAUUUUGAACUUAGAAU